UACAGAGGGUGCAAGCGUUGUUCGGAAUUAUUGGGCGUAAAGGGCGCGUAGGCGGUUCGGCAAGUCUCUAGUGAAAUCUCUGGGCUCAACUCAGAGUCUGCUGGGGAAACUGCCGGGCUUGAGUGUGGGGAGAGGAGAGUGGAAUUCCCGGUGAUAGCGGUGAAAUGCGUAGAUAUCAGGAGGAACACCAAUAGCGGAAGGCAGCUCGCUGGGACGGUACUGAACGCUGGAGGCGCG
rnacentral:rRNA from 1 species